CCCUUAGAUGUCCGGGGCUGCACGCGCGCUACACUGAAGGAGUCAGCGUGCUAAAACCAUUGUCGAAAGGCAUUGGUAAACCCAUUAAAAUCCUACGUGAUUGGGAUCGGGAAUUGCAAUUAUUUCCCUUGAACGAGGAAUUCCCAGUAAGUGUGGGUCAUAAGCUCGCGUUGAUUACGUCCCUGCCCUUUGUACACACCGCCCGUCGCUGCCCGGGACUGAGCCGUUUCGAGAAAAGCGGGGACUGCUGCUGUCGGGGCUUUCGGGCCUUGGCUUCGGUGGAAACCGCUUUAAUCGCAGUGGCUUGAACCGGGCAAAAGUCGUAACA
rnacentral:rRNA from 1 species